rnacentral:rRNA from 1 species
GGUAGUAGCAAAUACUCAAGUGAAAACCUUGAGGUCUGAAGUGGAGAAGGGUUCCAUGUGAACAGCAGCUGAACAUGGGUCAGUCGGUCCCAAGGCCAGGAAGCUAUUUCCUAAGCGGGAUCACUUUUGCAGUGGAGAGAGCCCCGCAGAGAACGAAAGGGAAUUGGAUUAAUAAUCCUGAACCCGGACAUUGGUUCUUCGGGGCCCAGUGCGGUAACGCAAACCAGCUCGGAGACGCCGAUGUAAGCCCCGGGAAGAGUUUUCUCUGUAAGGAGUCCUUGGAAUGGGUUCGCCCCGAGAUAGGGAUGGUGGCUCCGUAGAGCAGUGCGGCUCUUGCGCUCGCGUCGGUCGUCCCUUGAAAAUCCGAGCGAGGAGUGUGAUUUUCGUGCCGGACCGUAUUCACACCCGCGGCAGGUCUCCAAGGUAAACAGUCGCUAGUC